AGGAAUUGUGGAUGUAAACAAACCAGCAUGGCGGGGCUUAUGCGCUUUUGUAAUCAUUUCUGUCGCCAAAGGUUCUUACUCAGCGCGCAAGGAAAGAUAAUCUGAUAUCUUUUAUUUUAUUUGUAUAUUUGGAAAUGUAGCCUAUUUGGGAUUAAUUAUUUAUCCUUGCACUCAAUGAACUGAAAACUAAUUAUUAACGUUAUAUUGUCCUAAGUGUAUUCACACCGUGUACCGCUGUAGAAACACUGCAUCUAGGUUCUGCCAUUGUUGUUUUGUAUGGUUUCGCGGGCUUUGUGACGUCAGAGCUCGUAAACGGUAGUACACUUUUACAGUCUAUGGUAGCACAUCGAUCUAGUAAGAGUUCACGUGUGGGAAGUCACGGGUUUGACAACACCGUCCCAGUGCACUUUCACAGCUCUACAUCUUCCUUCCACAUGCACUUUCAAAGCAGAGAACAUGAAGGAGCUCACUCCAGCAGUGCUGAUGUCCAGCAGAUGUAUAUCUUUGGCGACGGCGUUCCUGAACACUGAUUGGUUGUGACAUUGUUUCAUGGAACAAGAUGCUCAGCAAUGUGGACAGCAUAUAUGUGUGUGCAUGUGUGUGAGUGUUUGUGAGAAAGUCUCUCUCCCCCUCUGUGUGUGUGAGAUGAGGAUGUCUUGUGAAAGGCCCAUCUGCCCUGGUGUCUGCCCACCAGUCAUACUGCCAGCACAGGCACUGCAGCGGACGCCUAAACUCUCUGUGACAAGGACCCCUAGAGUGCAUGUGCCACCCAACAUAAACAACACUGGCACUGCUCUCGCAUAUGACAGCCUGCGUGUGCGAUUUCUUUUUACCUCUUCGACGUCAUUCAGAUUUUUCAAUCAUUUCUACUUUUACUUAAAUGUAUUAUGUAAUUUGCACUUAAUCAGAUUGAAUCAAUUUAUUAAGCUAUUUUAAGUCAUCUUGGAUAAAAGUGUGCACUAAAUGGAUAGAAUCUUGA